CAGGAGUGCUGCAAUUGAAAAGGGUAAUAUCAAUCUCUCCCAAAGGAGCAGGCAGUUUCCAUGGAAGGAAUACUUUUUCCAGGAAACACUAGAAGGGUUCCUUUGAAUGGAAGCUGUGACUGCCACAUCAGCACUGAACCAACAAGGAAAGAAAGGGAUUACUGUAUUCGCUGGGACAAUUAAUCCUAAUCAUAAAGUGGGAAAAGUGGUGGUACUACAAAACAGAGGGAAGACCAUGUCUCAAAGAGAUGGGGUCUCAUUAUACUGCCCAAACUGGUCUUGAACUCCUGGCCUCAAGCAAUCCUCCUGCCUCGGUCUCUCAAAGCACUGGGAUUACAGGUGUGAGCCACCAUGUCCAGCCUACUUUCUUUUCUUAAAGGACAAUGGAUUGCAGCAAUUUUAUUAACUAGGACAUUAUUAUGAGGAUUGCCAUAGUAUGAAUACAGUCACCUCAAGACCUUCUGAAGACCAUCUACAAGAAAUCCCUUAAGACUACUAAUUUCAGUCUAUACCCUAGAACUGACAAAUAUUUUGCAAAUGACCUCUAGA
rnacentral:lncRNA from 1 species